ensembl:lncRNA
GAGGUUAAACUACUGGAUUAAUUCCACAAUUUAGAGAAAACAUUAAAACGAAUUUUUCAGAAAAAAAGGGCUUAUUUAGUUUUCAGAGAGAUUAGAGUAUUUUAUUUUGCCCAAUCAGAGCCCUUCAGCAUAAAGAGACAUUCAUAUACAUACAUAUGAACAUUUCCCAGAGACAUUAAUUUAUAAUACAUUUUUAAAAAUACCAGCUUAACGGUAUUUAUUUACAAAAAUAUUUCAUUACCUACUUUUAAACCUUUUGCUGUGAUGACAGUUUGUAAAGUACAGGAAUGCAAAAUAACUACAAAGUUUAACACAUUUUUCUGUGUUUGCAAUAGUGCUUUUUUUUUUUUUUAAUGAAACAGUACACAGAGAUGGGUUUUUUAAUCAUAUUGAAAAUGCAUAUUCCAGCAAUCACCUUUGAGAUAGUUACUGGACUGAGCAAGAUUUAAAAAAAAAAAAGUAAGUGCAGCAACUGAAAACUAUCUGCAUGUACAUUUCAAGGUGGACACUAGCUCGAGCUCUGUAUCAAGCAUGCUCGCCCCUGAGUGGACAGUGUUAGCAAAACUGAAUCUUGCUCUUUUUAACAUUGUUUUUGGUGUUGCAUUUACAAUGAACCAAUAGUAUAAGUAGGAAGCAAGAUGUUUUUCCAGUUCUAUCAUGUUAAGCAGAGGUCACACCUAAGGAUCACAGUACCAUUUAUUUACAAAAAAAAUUAAAAAUUUAAAACAUGAUUUACCCUUUUUGCAUUACUGUCUAUUGGUAUGUUGAAUCUGUUUCCAAUUCCUUACAUUGUCUUCAGUGGAAGCAAAAUUUAAACAACACAAAACACACUGCAUAAAAAAAACCCCAAAACUCCCAAAUAAAUAGGAUUCCAUUGUCAUUAGCCUAUAUCCAUUUUAAAUGCCCAAGCCAAACAACCUACAAUAAAUUAAUACUGAUUUAUUUACAUCACAUACACUAUAAAAUUUUAAUUUAACCUAUAAGCCUCAUUGUGAAAUACUGGCAAAACUG